GAUGAACGCUGGCGGCGUGCUUAACACAUGCAAGUCGAACGAAGUGGCGAACGGGUGAGUAAUACGUGGGUAACCUGCCCUCCUUUUUGGGAUAAGCCUUGGAAACGGGGUCUAAUACCGAAUAAAGGGGGAUGGGCUCGCGGCCUAUCAGGUUGUUGGUGGGGUGAUGGCCUACCAAGGCGGUGACGGGUAGCCGGCCUGAGAGGGUGACCGGACACAAUGGGAGGGAGAUACGGCCCAGGCACCUACGAGAGGCAGCAGUGGGGGAUAUGGCACAAUGGGCGACAGCCGGAGGCAGCGACGCCGCGUGGGGGAUGAAGGCGUUCGGGUUGUAAACCUCUUACGCAAGCGAACGGGUAGGUGGAGAAGAAGCGCCGGCUAACUACGUGCCAGCCGCCGCGGUAAUAC
rnacentral:rRNA from 1 species